UGGGGAAUUUUGGACAAUGGGGGCAAGCCCUGAUCCAGCAAUGCCGCGUGUGUGAAGAAGGCCUUCGGGUUGUAAAGCACUUUUGUCAGGAACGAAACGUUCGGGCUAAUAUCCUGGGCUAAUGACGGUACCUGAAGAAUAAGCACCGGCUAACUACGUGCCAGCAGCCGCGGUAAUACGUAGGGUGCAAGCGUUAAUCGGAAUUACUGGGCGUAAAGCGUGCGCAGGCGGUUGUGCAAGACAGAUGUGAAAUCCCCGGGCUUAACCUGGGAACUGCAUUUGUGACUGCACGGCUAGAAUCUGGCAGAGGGGGGUAGAAUUCCACGUGUAGCAGUGAAAUGCGUAGAUAUGUGGAGGAAUACCGAUGGCGAAGGCAGCCCCCUGGGCUAAGAUUGACGCUCAUGCACGAAAGCGUGGGGAGCAAAACA
rnacentral:rRNA from 1 species